rnacentral:lncRNA from 11 species
GUUGGAAAUGAUUGUUACUUUGAAUGCAUAUAAAGGAUAUGGUUUCCUUGGCAACCAUAUCCAGUAGAAAAAAGCAUGGUUGACAGGUUAGCAUACAUAGUGCUUCCUAAAAAAAGAGAGCACAUGGCCCUAAAUGCAAUCGUGACAGCUUAACAGAUAAAAAGGAGGAAGGAAGGGGGAAGAAAAAAGAAAAUAGGACACACCUUUAAUACUAAACUGAUUUUUUUAAAUUUUUGCAUGAGCUUUCAUAGAUAUAAACCCACUUCUUUGGUUGCAGCACUUCCUUGAAGAUAUAACAGAUGGAAAUCCUCAGCCUUGUGGAGUGACUUCUUUUCUCUGCAGAAAUGAAAACAGACUGAGUAAAGACAUACAUUCAGAAGUGACUGAAGACUUUUUCCACUUUCCUGUGCUACAAUGGAUGUAUCCCAGAGAACCUUGCAGAUACAAAACCCAAUAAGACCAAUGAUUUAUUAAAUUGUAAGUCAGCAAAGUGCAAAUUCCACUAAAUCAAUAAGACUCCUUUAACUGGAUCUAACCAUUGGAUUUAGACCAGGAAUGGUCACCAUGAAGCCAUUUUCAUGGUCUGCAAUACUUGUUAUCCAUCAUUGGGCUGGGGCUGGUGGAAUAAUAUAUGAAGGGUUUCAUGAUUCCCUUCCCUAACUAAAGUGACGGAUAAUAUGAAGUUGUAUCCCAGCAUUCCCUGGACAUGUUCCUGUGCCACACCUCUUGGGAAUCUGCUCCACAGCCCCCGUAUCACCCAUUGUACAUUAAUUCAUAUUUAGCAUAGUACUGUGACUCUAUUAUUCUGUUUUCAGUCCAUUUCAGAUUCAUAUUUACUUUUUCAUAAAUCCAUGCCCAUCCUGUUUUUGUAUUUAUCUGUGAUUAUUUUUAGAUAGUCAAAAAUAAAACAUAUUUAUACACAUU